UACGUAGGGUCCAAGCGUUAUCCGGAAUCACUGGGCGUAAAGCGUGCGUAGGUGGAUUGUUAAGUGCGAUGCGAAAUCCUGUGGCUCAACCAUAUGGACUGUAUCGCAUACCGGCUAUCUAGAGGACAUGAGAGGCAAGUGGAAUUACUGGUGUAGCAGUGAAAUGCGUAGAUAUCAGUAGGAACACCAAUGGCGAAGGCAGCUUGCUGGCAUGUAUCUGACGCUAAGGCACGAAAGCGUGGGGAGCGAACAGG
rnacentral:rRNA from 1 species